CAGUAAUGAUGUAAGAUGCAUAAUCACUAGCAAAGUUAUCUACUAUGAGAGUUAGAUAUUUUUACAAAAACCUUGCCCAUAUCAACUACAACAAUACACUUUCGGCCAGAGGCCUAUACAAACUUACAUUUAUUUGAUACAUUCCAUACUAUAUAGCAAACAUGUUCCUACUAUUAAACAUGAGCUACUGUUAAAAUACAUCACAAACAAGGACUACAAGGAAAGAAGAGAAGAGUACAAUACGAAAUAGGGAAGUUGGCAUUGUGAAUGCUCCCUCUAGAGCUCAAAUCACAGAGAGUGAAGUGAGAUGGAGGAAUUGAAAAAAUGCCAAAGGAUUGAAUUUGCCCUUUUCAAAAGAAAUCGAACUCAAGUGGAAUGCUUCAUUUCGUUCCCAGCAAUCUUUAACUUAUUCUUUGCUCAGCCAUACUAACAAAAGAAGCGUUAAAGCAUAGAUAGAUGUAAAGACCAUAGUCACGUAAUUCGCUCACACCCUCUUCAUACCAUGAACCAAUUCGCGAGAACCAUAAUGCCCUCCAUCCACGUCUCCACCACCUCCAGUGCCAAAUUCCUGCUGGAGGUGGCUGAGAGAAGCUUUGAGAAGGUUACAUGUUUGGGAUGGGAUGCAGUUAAGAAAAGGUUUAAGAUUGUUAUAGGAUUCGCUUGUUGGUCAUAAUGGAAAUAAAAGAGAGUGGUGACUUAAGUACAAUGUGUGGUCUGUAAUGACUUCAUGUCAAAAGAAACAUAAAUUAAAGUGAUAAAGUAUGACAUCAAGGUUCCUAAUUUAGCAUCUUCGAAGGGAUAUGCCCAAGCCACCUCCACUGUUCCACAUAUGAUAAACACCUUUUCAUUCUCCUUUCACGUGGCUAUUUUUUUUGUGACACUAGGG
rnacentral:lncRNA from 1 species